GACGAACGCUGGCGGCGUGCUUAACACAUGCAAGUCGAACGGUAAGGCCCUUCGGGGUACACGAGUGGCGAACGGGUGAGUAACACGUGGGUGAUCUGCCCUGCACUUCGGGAUAAGCCUGGGAAACUGGGUCUAAUACCGGAUAGGACUACUGCCUGCAUGGGUGGUGGUGGAAAGCUUUUGCGGUGUGGGAUGGGCCCGCGGCCUAUGAGCUUGUUGGUGGGGUGAUGGCCUACCAAGGCGACGACGGGUAGCCGGCCUGAGAGGGUGACCAGCCACACUGGGACUGAGAUACGGCCCAGACUCCUACGGGAGGCAGCAGUGGGGAAUAUUGCACAAUGGGCGCAAGCCUGAUGCAGCGACGCCGCGUGAGGGAUGACGGCCUUCGGGUUGUAAACCUCUUUCAGCACCGACGAAGCGCAAGUGACGGUAGGUGCAGAAGAAGGACCGGCCAACUACGUGCCAGCCGCCGCAGUAA
rnacentral:rRNA from 1 species